UGAGGUCCCAAUCUCUGUUGGGGGGUGGGCUCAGGAUUUCCAUACUCUUGCUUCAGGAGGACACAAAGGAUAACUUAGUAAGGUCUCCUCCACAAGGUCUGUAACUCAAGUGGCUUGGAACAUUGAUUCAGGAGUCAAAGCCAGGAGUGAAUAUAAACAGCCAAAAAAACAAUUUCAAGCUUGCUUACAUUUACAAACAACAAUAAACUAUUAAGGGCCGUGGCAGACGGGGAGAUUAGUCCCUUGUCGCGGGUGACUAAUCUCCCCGAGAUGCCAUCCCACCGGCUACAAUGUAAAUCGCAGGUGAGAUGGCAUAGGCGGCGCCAAAAUUGCCAAAGUUCCCUUGCAAGGCAACUUUGGCGAUUUCGGCAAAUCGCUGCAUAUGCCAUCCUACCUGCGAUUUACAUUCUAGCUGGUGUGAUGGCAUCUCGGGGAGAUUAAUCUCCCCGUCUGUCACGGCCCUAACACUUUUCAAUUAAUGUAUAUUUGGAAAGUUUAAAAUGCAUUUUGCUUUACUGUGCUAAAUAGUUUUUGGAUGGAGGGUCUUUUAAAAAGGAGAUUCUUCAAUUACGAUCCUCCCUGCUUUCUUUUCUUGCUUUUAUAACACAACACAACAGCUCUAAAUAUAGUGAUGUUAGAUAUCAAGAUAGUUGACCAGGUGCUAGUUGGUAUGAUUCCCAUUCUAUCCUAUUGCAUCUGUAAUUAUGGGGUUUCUUCUUCAGAGAACUUAAAAGAACCAGAAGGGUUUAAUGAAAGGUUUACUUUCCCUUGACAUCACAAGAUUAUAUACUGAAGUUACAAGAUAUACAAGAUAUUGUUUUAUGCAUAUGAUAGAAUAGUAAAUUUUUCCAUGUUACUGAACAUAAGAGUGGCUUGGAUGACUGCUUGAACAAGCAUAAUAUCCAAGGCUAUUGUGUUCUUAAGAUCUACAGUUAGUUUAGUAUUGACACUAGUAUAUAUGUGAGCAUAUAGAUAGGUCUGUAUAAAUAUGUGUAUACAGUAAAUGCACUGGGGUUGGUUUGGAGGGAUUGAACUUGAUGGUCUUUUUUCAGUUUUUACAUAGCUAUCUAACUAGUAAGCUAGAAGCAUGCAGAAAAUAAAAACAUGUGCCCUUUAAAUAGGAUGAGAGUUGCUCUUACCUAAUGUUUUGAUAAAUUGCACUGAUUUUAUUCCUGAUAUAAAAACUCCUUUUCCGUAGCUGCCUACAGUUUUGACAACAGAGAUUACCACUUUGGAGCGGAUAUGCAAACACUCACCAUACAACUAAUUGGGAAGGAGACGGAUGGAGAUAGUUUAUGUUAUGGAAUUUGGUCGAACUGUGCAUUCUGUAUGCAAAUUCCAUUUUAAUUU